rnacentral:ribozyme from 1 species
UUUUUUUUUUUUUUUUUUUUUUUUUUUUUUUUUUUUUUUUUUUUUUUUUUUUUUUUUCCUCCCGAGAAAGCCGGGAGAAUCAAAAAAAC